UAUCGUUCUCAUUUUCUUCAAACUUUUCCUUAAUCUCUCUUGGGAAAUAUGUUUUCAUAAAAUUCAUCAAGGCGUGAUCAAUAUUGCGAGAAUCGGCUUUCAUAACUUCUUUGGCACGACACAACGGACAGAAAUCAACUUUCUGUUUCUGAAGAAUGAUAAGGCAAUGCAAACAAAAAACAUGGGAACAACCUAAUCUCACCGGCUUGUAAGCAACGUUAGAGCAUAUAGCGCAUUCAAAAUCCCUCAGUUGAGGAAUAAUCGAGAAUAGCUUAGAAGAGAGUGAAAAGCAUAUAGCUUUAGAAGCAUUGUCGACCAAAAGAAGAGGGUCUGAUUCGAUAACUUGA